rnacentral:tRNA from 1 species
GCCGGGGUGGUGAAACUGGCAGACACGCCAGCCUUAGGAGCUGGUGAACGCAAGUUCAUGUGGGUUCGAGUCCCACCCCCGGCA